UAAAUCUUGCGUGGUUGCUAGGGGCGCUCCGAGCCCUAGGCGUGUGGGGAGAUGCUUCCCUUGGAGAAGGUGUGAACCCGCCCCAAGAUUGGCAAUUGGGAGAACUUCUACGGAGGAGUUGAUAGGCUCCUUGUACAAUAAUCCCCGCCGGAGUAAAUUGGUCCGGUUUUUCUCCACGCCCUCCACCAGCCCCGCCUUUCGCGGGAUUCCCCGCGCUUCCGGCUCUGGCUCAGUCUUCCAGGCGCUGCGCGGAGAGCUCCCGGACUCGCCGUGGGCGGUGACAGGGUGCGCUGCGGUGGGAACGAGCGGGCGCCUUGGGCGAGUCCGUUUGCCUCAGCCCACCCUACUGUGGUUCGUUUCAGAAAAGUUUGGUGGGCUUCAGUCAGUGGGAAAAGACUCCAAGUUUCCUCCUGGUCAAGCCUUUAGGCUUGGACUGAAACAUCAGCUCUUCUUGGAUCUUGAACCCGCCAACUUUCAGACUGGAAAUCACGCCAUUGGCUUUCCUUGUUCUCAGGCCGUUGGCUUCAGACUGGGAACUACACAUCAGCUCUCCUGGGUCUCCAGCUUGAUGACUGCAGAUCUUGGGACUUCUUGGCCUCCAUACUUAUAUCCCUGGCUAAUACAGAUCUUGACACCAGCCGUGGAAUGUAGCUGUAACAAAUAACUAAAAAUGUGGAAGCUGCUUUGGAACUGAAUGAUGAGUGGAGUUGGAAAAGUUUUAAAGUGCAUGCUACAAAUAUGGACAUUAAGGACAAUGCUGGUGAGACGUCAGAUGGAAAUGAGGAAGACGUUAAUGGAAAUUGUGGGAAAAGUGACCCUUGUUAUAAAGUGGUGAAUAACUUG